UACGUAGGUGGCGAGCGUUGUCCGGAUUUACUGGGCGUAAAGGGCGCGUAGGCGGCCAUCUAAGUCAGACGUGAAAUCCCCCGGCUUAACCUGGGAACUGCGUCUGAUACUGGACGGCUUGAGUAUGGGAGAGGGAUGUAGAAUUCCAGGUGUAGCGGUGAAAUGCGUAGAUAUCUGGAGGAAUACCGGUGGCGAAGGCGGCAUCCUGGACCAUUACUGACGCUGAGGCGCGAAAGCUAGGGGAGCAAACGGG
rnacentral:rRNA from 1 species